rnacentral:rRNA from 1 species
UACAGAGGGUGCUAGCGUUGUUCGGAAUCAUUGGGCGUAAAGGGCGCGUAGGCGGUCAGCACAAGUCAGUUGUGAAAUCUCCGGGCUUAACUCGGAAAGGUCAACUGAUACUGUGCGACUAGAGUGCGGAAGGGGCAACUGGAAUUCUCGGUGUAGCGGUGAAAUGCGUAGAUAUCGGGAGGAACACCUGCGGCGAAGGCGGGUUGCUGGGCCGACACUGACGCUGAUGCGCGAAAGCCAGGGGAGCGAACGGG